CUGCCCAGCAUCUGUGGUCCAUCCGGAGCAGAGAUCACCUCAUGCUAUUCCAUUCCAUCCUACCUGAGGCAGAGCACGAGUCAUCGCCAUGCUCAGCGUUUCCAUAUGAUAUAUUCCACUCACCCGUCAGUCACUUGGAAGCCAUUUUGGUUAUCAGGUCUCCAGUAGAAGGUAUGGCCCAGAUUAAAGGUAUGUCUCAAGAUCUGGAUUAAAGAGGUAUGUCUUCCAGCCCCAAGAUCUGGAUCAAAAGCUCAUGUCUACCAGCCUCGAGAUGUGGGUCACAGGUGUGCCCUCCAUUUCUGGAUUAUAGUUCAUUCCAGAUACAGUCAGGUUGACAACCAAGAAUAGCCAUCACAAUAGGUAUUUUACCCUCAUAUGUGUUUGUGCACCACUUGCAUGUCUAUGUCCUCAGAGGCCAGAAUUGGACAUCAGAUGUCCUGGAACUGGACAGUUACAGUGUAAGCCACCAUGUGGGUGAUGGGAACCAGACUCAGGAACAUUCAGGAAUCAAACACUGGCUGGAAGCACAGCCAGUGCUCCUAACUGCUGAAUCACCUCUCCUGCCCCGGAUUCACUUCUUUUAUUAUAUGUGUAUGUCUGUGUGUGGGUCCGUACAUAUGAGUACAAUGUCUGUGGCGUCCAUAGGAGGGAGUCCAUUCCCUGGAGUUGAAGGGACAGGCUACUGUGAGCUUCCUAAAAUGCAGACUGAGAACCAUGUAUUAAUUGCUGAUCCACCUAUCCAGACCAUAGUUUAGAUUUGUUUAGAUUAGGGCAAUUAUUUGAUUUCUAGUUACAAUUUAGCCAUUCUGUUCAAAAAUAUGUCUGGAAUUGUUCUAGGAGAAGGUGUCAUGGUUUGGACUAUGAAUUGUCUACCAAAACCCACGUGUUGAAGACUCGGUUCCCCAAACAGCUAGUGAUUCCCAUCACUAAAGGGUGGUCAGGAGGGUUCUGUGAUAAUCAGAUAGAUUCCUAACUCAUUGAUGAUUCAUAAUUUGGUGGGAGGACUUCAUUGGGGAUGUGUCUUUGGAAGGUAUAUCUUCUCUCUGACCCCUUCCAGUCUCCUUCUGCUCCCCAGCCUUCCCCAGAUCCAUACUGACUAGGCCAGUGGGCCACACACUGGGACCUCUGACACCAGGAGCCAAACAACACUCUUAAUCUUGUUUUUCUUUGAGAUGUUUUGUCAACAGUAGCAAAAAGUGACCGACAUACUAGGGAUGGCUAGCAACAAACAGCCGGAGUAUACCAUCAAGGGGCGCACAGACCAGCAAGCACACAGAAGACACAGUCAACAACCAUCCAAUGCUUAAUUACAUCCAGGCAUCUGUAAAGGGAAAGACGCAUAUGGUGGGGGUAUCCCACCUCCUGCUGCAUAAGUAAAAACUGAACCUUUGUUGUAUUGUAUCACUGAGAUGUCAUUGUUCCCUUGACACACAUGCCAAGACUGUGGGGCUGCAGUGUGACAGGAGGGACCAUGGAUUAGUUACUUUUCCAUCACCAUAAUCAGCAUUCCCCGAAGACACUGUUGGAGAGAGACAGCAUUUAUUUUGACUCAUGGUUUCAGAGGUUUUUCAGUCCAUCAUGGUGCUUCCUAUGAUGAUGUGACCAGUCCAUGACAACAGGAGCCUACAGGCAGAAGCUGUUGAUGAUGUAUCAGAAUGCAGAGAGCAAACCAGGAAGGAGGCAGAAAUCACAUGACCCACUCAAGGACCUGCUGCAAGUGAUCUACUUCCGGGUCAGGUAGGCACCUCCCAUCAAGUGGAAAGGUAUUCAAAACCUGAGCCGUAGGGGAGGGACAUUUCAGAUGUAAAUCCAAACACAGCAGGUUGGAGCAGAGCUAUCGAGAUAAACUUGUGGCCUGGGAGAGAAGUCUCUGUGCUGGCAGAAUAGAGGUGGAGUGGUAGACAUCUGGGAGGUAGAAGCACUCUGAGUGACUUGAGUUUCUGGCUUGUAUAGCUGGAUAUCCACCCACCACUCAUUCUUUGUUUUACUUAAUGACUCAGUGGGUGAUUGACACUCCAUCCACUACUGGCAGAUGCCCAUAAGCGAGUUGUCCCCAUUUCUUCUUCAACUUAGAAACUGAGAGAACUGAAUGGGUUCCCCGUGAACUCAAGCUCACAAUCUGCCCAGAAGUUUGUCCACUGGUAAGGGACCUCCUCUCUGGGAGAGAGGAGAGAAAAAGUAGGGAGUCAGGGAAAGAGAAAAUAACAAGAAGUCGUACACACGGACCUUGUGCCCAUCCAGCCUGAGCCACUUUAAUUUCUCACCUGGAUCAACAAAGAGGACCUCAGCUUCUGCCCUUUCUCAACUCGGCCAGAGCGAAUCUGCUAAUGCAGCAGUCAGUCAGGCACAGACUAUGUAUAAUUCAGGGUUUCUCAACCUAUGCACCUUCACCACGUGGGCCAGCAUCAUGGGUGAGGGGAAAGAAAUGCUGUCCUUGGAUGUUUAGCAGCAUCUCAAACCUGUGCCUGCUACAGCCACUGUCACACUCAAGGCCUCCUCAUCUGUGACAAGGAGAAUGGGCAGCAAACACGCCAAAUACUCUUUACUCCAGGCAGUCCUGAAAUGCCUUCUCCUCCUUGCAGAGGGACAAUUCAUGAGCACCCUCUCUUCUCUGAUUCCGCCCCUCCCCCACCUCACCCACUCAGCUUCCUUCCUGCGGGCUGACCCUCCGCCUAGCCCUCUAGCUCAUGAGCUGGGGUCUCAGUCUGAGCUGAGGGCCCUGCUGCUCUUGCUUAGGGAGGAUGCCCCGCCCUAAGAUUUCCAAAGAACUCCCUCCAUCAGUAACUUUGGCUUUUGGCUUAAACGUUACCUUCUCGGUGACGCCAACUCAAGGCGCCUCUUAGGAAAUUAAAAUCUCAGUGCGUUCAUUUGCUAGGAUGGAAUGAGUCAGCGCGGGUUGGGUGAGUUAAAGCAAGGAGUGGGUUUUUACACAGAUCUGGAAGCUAGAAGUACAAAGUCGAGGCGCCUGCAGACCUGGUUUCUCCUAAGGCUCUCAUCAGCCGAAGCCCUUGCUUGUCCUUGCUGGGUGUACAGGCAUCCCAGUUUGUCCGUCCCAAUUCCCUCUUCUGUCCAGGACACUCUUUAACCUAGUCACCCAGAGUUCCAGGGCUCUCUGAGAUCUUAGGGUGUUAAGCUUGCACUUGGGAACUUUAGGGGUGUUACCUUCGGCCCGGGACACUCCAAUGGAUCAGCAAUGAUCAAGCUGGCAUUCUGAAUAGUUUACCUUUUCAUCCAGAUUAUGGUGUCUUUCUCUUCCAGGUCUCCACCAGAAUAUCAUAUUCCAUAAAGCCAGGGAUUUUUGUCAAUCGUAUUCACUGCUACAUUCACAGUGCCUAUUAGCACAUGGCAAACACUUGUUAGAAGUGUUACAGACAGGAGCAAGAACUGCUUCUCCACAUACCAGCUGCACCCUUGGGAAAGAUCACUUCUCUAUUCCUCAGCUCCCUCUCUCAGGCUAAGACAACCCAGAGCAUGAACUCUGGUCUAUUAGCAUAGGGAUGCUAACUUCUAGGUUCUCAAGAAAACCCUGUGAGAGAAAAGUUUCCUUUCAACUGCUUCUAAGGGAGGCACAAUUCCAGAACAUCAAGGUGAGGGAGCAGGAAGUGAGGUAAAGGUAGCUGAGAAGUGAGAAGGGGUUGUGGGGAGGUAGUGUCCAGACAACUGGCCCCCACUCCCUUUCAAAGCCAGGUCACACAGAACUUCUCCAGACAGGCCUCACAGAAAGCACUGGCCUGAGAACAGCCUAAGGCAAGAGGGCUCCCUCCAGCCUUGUGCCUCCCAUUAGCUAGAAGUAGCCGCAGGAGAGUUAAUGCCCUUGCAGCAUAAAGGUCUCAGCUGGUUCUUUAAACAGCCUGGAAGGGAGCCAGACCCUUGGCCCUCUGGAGGAAGGCUUCGUCCCAGUCUGGAAGCAGUAGAGCCUGCAGAGGUUGGCCCUAGGCUGCCAUGAGCGAAGGAAGAAGGGUUGAAAAGAGCCAGUUCUUGUUGCCUGUGGACUGGAAAGACCCCAGCCAGGUGAGCCCGCCAAGAACGUGUCCAAAGCGGGAUAAGUGAGGGAAGCUGCCAGAUUGUGGAGAACAAAGGUUCAGGUAGAGCUGGCCAAAAGUCUCCAAUGGUGAAAGGGGGCUUAGUAGCCCAGUAAAAACAUGCAUAGGUCAUCAGAGCCAGGGGACCUGGGUUUACCUUUGACAGCCCGGACAGACCAUGCCUGUGCUCUGCAGCCAGACCUAGUGGAACCGUUCUAGGCCUAUGUCCAGGUAUGUGUGGACACCAUGGACAGGCUGAAGGCCCAGCUGGGACCAACUCCAUAGUAAUGAUGCAGUGGGAGCCCAGAUCCCGCCCCUCCUCCCCCUCCCAUGCUACCCAGCCUCCCACCAGCUCAUCACUUUGUACACCCUUCCUCAACUCCCACCACCCCCAAAGCUGUCUCCUCAGCUAGAGGAGGGCGUUGCCUGCCACCACUCCCCUUUUGGAGGGCAUUUUUUUUUCCUGUGCAGGUUGCCACCUUGGACCAUGCUUCCCCUUCAGGGCAGACCUCUCCCUCCAGUCUCCGCCCAGUGUCUCCUGGGAAGCCGUACUAGCAGAUCGCACCACUUGAGCGUUGGGAAGGCUGUCUGCGGAACUGUGCCGGGGAGGUCAAAUGAAAAUGGAGUUUGAGUCAAGCAACAGAAAACACAGGGGAUGGAUGGACUUAGAAGCCAAGGCUGACUUUAAACUCUCCCAUGCUACUACAGGAGACUGGCUACGAACCCAGCACAAUAUCAAAAAGCAAGCAUGCACAGAUAAGACUCUCAUAAAAUGAGCUCAGGCCUAUGAAGCAGUUUCAGGAAUACAACAGCCUCUCCGACUUUGCCUUGCCACUUGACUACUGUGUGUUCUGUGGAGAAACCACUCCGUGCUGAACGGAGCAGCCUUCUACCUCCAGCAGUGACUCUUGUCCUUCUCACACACAGCCCGGAUGAAAACACAACCUGCUUCACACAGCUUGUUUGUUGCUAAGUAACCACUUCUUCCUGGUAUGAGUGUGUGACCACCCUUUCUUACUGCAACUUAAUUGCGUGACCUUAACACUGGAGAAUGGAAUUGGAAUGGGGCAGGCGUGGGGGUGGGGCUUCAUUUCUCAUCACCUACACUGUCUGUUAUUGUCCAUGACCCUGAAGAACAUUUCCUGGGAAAAGGUGAAAAAAGGGAGGGGCAGAGGAAGAACUGAGAACACGAGGGAGGUAGGAGGAAGUCUAAUCUCCACCCAGCCACCCCAGAGACCUCCUGGUGACUGCAUGAGCCAGAGAGCAGACAACAACCUUCUGUCCCCUUUCUCCUUCAAACACUGCUAACCCACGGGUCAAGCAUGAGCAUAGGCUUUGAAGCCAGGAAUAGUCACCUCAACCCUUGCCACAGUCCCAAGGGACACAGAGGCCACCAGCAAUACGGCAGCAAUCUCCUCUUUCAAGAGCAAGAGAGAGAUAAGUAAGAGUUUCCUCUUAGGAGCUCUGUCUCACAUUCACUAUGUCCCUGAAGCUGGGGUCUAUGAGGCUAUUGGUGACUGAUGUUUCCCAGAAUUCCAUAGUCAUGCAGGAACCUGUCACUUCUCUCAGGAAAUCGAAUGGUCUGCCCCUAGAUCACUAUAAGUUAUCCACUACCACCAGCUUUAUAGAGGCAUGAUCAAGAAAUAAAGGUGUGUGUGGGCUGGGGGCAUGGCUCAGCUCAGAGAGAGCUCUUGCAUCUCGUGUGUGAGGAUCUACAUGCUUGUAAUCGCAGCACCAGCAAGAUGGGAGACAGCGACAAGGAAGAUCCUGGAAGUUCCCUACUCGGUGACGUUCCAGACCAAUGAAAGACUGUGUCUCAAACAAAAGAGCUAACACCUAAGGUCAUGCCCCUGACCUCCACGCAUGUGUCAUGCAUGUGCACACUGAACGCACAUUUACCCCUCCCACACCCACACAUGCACCCUCAUCUGCAUAUUCCCACAAGACCGCAUGCAGUUAAGGUGUACAUGUUUUGCUCAGCAUUCUCUACACUCAGUCUGUUUAACACAUCUGUGACCUAGCUAUGUGUGUGUGUGAGAUAAUACCUCACACCUACUCCCUUAACACAUAACAAUGAUGUAACCCUGCAUUAGUAAUAAGUGUGGUCACUUUGCUGUACACUGGUUCUCCAGAAGCCAGUCAUCUCAGAACUGCAAGUCCUCCUGUGUUACCCUUGGAUGAACGUCUCCCCCACUUACCUUACCUCUGAUCCUUAAUAAUUAUCCUUCUGCUCUAUCCUGAGGCUCUGACGUUUUCAGAUUCCACUUCUACAAGGAGAUCGUAUGCCCCGUGCAUUACUCAGUCUUCCCAUUGCUGUGACAGAGGUAAUUUAAGGAGGGGGAGGGGCAUUCUGCUUUAAGAAGAUGUGUAGGGAGGGCUGGAGAGAUGGCUCAGUGGUUAAGAGUAUCCGACUGCUCUUCCAGAGGUCCUGAGUUCAAUUCCCAGCAACCACAUGGUGGCUCACAACCAUCUGUAAAGAGAUCCGAU